AACCAAGAAGAUUUGAGAGAUAAGAGAUGGAACUAGUCUAUCUUGUCUGCUCGUUACUUUCAACUUCCAUCACUUCCUUCCUCCUCUCCCUUCUACUCCCUUUUCGUCUUCUGCUCCGCCCUCUCUUUGGCGGCGGAGCAGACGACGACGCUGUUGUUUCUCUUUAUGAAGGAACUGUAUGGCACGAAAGACUUCGUCCCGUUCAUCAUUCCUUCCAGUACCCCGUCCGCUACGCACUCAUUGACCUUGACCAUGCUUCUAAUCCACCAUCUGAUCAUCUCUCUGCUCACCAAGCUAGACUCAUUUCUGGCACCACUGGUCCCGUCAGUUUCUUGUUGACAAUACCGCCCAGUGUGGGAUAUGUGCAAAACCCGUUGAGUUUGUAUUAUUGCUAUGAUAUUGAAGGCUCCUCGCAGACUUUGAAGAAAUGCAUUGCUGAGGUUACUAACACCCCAUGGGGUGAAAGAGUAUCAUUUUUGUUCAACCCAAAUUCAGAUGUAGUUGCAAAAGCUCUACAUGUUAGUCCUUUCAUGGAUAUGCUAGGAACUUGGACCAUGAAAACAAAUAUACCCGGGGAUAAUCUAUUUGUAACAAUAUCAGUAAAUCAUCCGAAACAUGGUGACUACUUCUCAGCUUCAUUGAUGGCCAAAAGAGUAUCUUCCUCCAUGCAUACUGAUCUAGCUUUAUUCUUCUGGCUAAUGCCUCACAAGGUUGCAUUCUGGAUAUAUUGGCAGGCUCUCAAGCUUUGGUGGAAGGGUGUUCCUUUCUUGCAACAUCCAAGGUACUACAACCCUAGAUACAGAGGAGAAGCCGUACUAUCUGAUGAGAAUCUUCAAUGCUGUCCAGUGUUUGUAUUUGAGACGCAGAACAAUCAAUCGGCUGUUGCAGCUCAUUCAACUUCAAAACAUCAUUGCUUCACUUGGAGGGAUGCAAAAUGGCCCUGGUGCUAAAAGGAAUGCAAUGAACCAUCAAUCAUCUUCCUAACACCGAAGGAAGUUGCAAAGGACGCAACCUCCAUCAGAUUGACGCCACCAUCAGAACAAAGAUAGAUUUCCUCCAAAUCAUUUGGUAUCAGGCAUUAGGGCCUAAAUCAAAGGUGCUACAUACAUAAAAGGUGUAGGAUGAAGGGAAAAUAAAUAUUAAAGGGGAAAACAACCACCAAACUACAAAAGCAAACAAUGAUCUAACAGGUUCUAAAAUUAUAGUGUUGUGUAAGAAAGGCAUGACGUUUAUAGAGGGCAUCAAGAAAUCUCAGUGCAAGACCAUUUGAUAUUGGUCUUCAAUCAUCUGAAACAUACAGAAAAAAGGAGGAAGAUGACCAAAUUCUUCUCAGUAUCGGAGAUAGCACUGGUGGUAGCAACUCUAAUAGUAAUAGAUGAUGCAUAUCAAUGAGUUCCUUGCUUAAACAAUUUCUGAUGUACCUGACUCUCUCGGGUUUUGAUCAAUCGAUACGUGUUUCAUAAGUUUAGUUAAAUUCACUUAAUUGGUUGGA